CUGGAAACAAAAGCGCGCAGAGACCUCUGUCUGCGGAGGUGAACUCCAGCAAAUACGUUUAGGAGGAAAGUAACAAUUAUUUUACUAACUCGAAUAGUAACAGUGGUAUCCCAUGUUAAAUGGUUAUACUUUCUUACGUUGGUUGUUAUAAUUUGAAGAUUCAAGAAAAGCGUAUAGCAAGCAUAUGGGCCAUACACAUUUGUACAGGGCCAAAUAUUCAGUAAAGGACAACAUUAUUUUUGACCAUCAGAUGACAAGAUACGGUAUCAACUGGACAUAGGCUACAGUAUAAGAUAAGAUCUAAACCAGGCCAGAACUUGUCCGUGUAGACCAAUUUGGGUUUCCAAUCUCUCCAAAAGAAUGUGGUGACCGAUGGUAUCAAAAGCAGCACUAAGAUCUAGGAGCACGAGGACAGAUGCAGAGCCUCGGUCUGAUGCCAUUAAAAGGUCCUGGCAGAGUUGUGCAGACUCAGGACAAUGGAGCUUUGGAGGAAUACGCAGAUUUAAAGAGGAGUCCGUAAUUAGCUUUCUAAUGAUCAUGAUCUUUUCCUCAAAGAAGUUCAUUAAUUUAUUAUUGCUGAAGUGAAGGUGUGUUUCUGAGCAGUCCAAGCCUGAAACUUCUGAGAAAGAUGGUGAGGUCACUGGGAGUCAAAAAGGCACGGUGCUGCCAUCAAGUACGUGACUUAGGCAACCUUUGUGAACAUUAAACAAAGAAAGAACUGAGGUUGAGGCAGGGGGAGCAGCAAGUAAGUACAUGUGGUCCUACUUCUCUGGAUUUCUCAGUCUGGCAGGGUUUAGUGGACUAUCAUCAGAUCAGUACAUCAGAAUGAGAUUGGAC
rnacentral:lncRNA from 1 species